GAUGAACGCUGGCGGCGUGCCUAAUACACGCAAGUCGAGCGAACAGACGAGGAGCUUGCUCCUCUGACGUUAGCGGCGGACGGGUGAGUAACACGUGGAUAACCUACCUAUAAGACUGGGAUAACUUCGGGAAACCGGAGCUAAUACCGGAUAAUAUAUUGAACCGCAUGGUUCAAUAGUGAAAGACGGUUUUGCUGUCACUUAUAGAUGGAUCCGCGCCGCAUUAGCUAGUUGGUAAGGUAACGGCUUACCAAGGCAACGAUGCGUAGCCGACCUGAGAGGGUGAUCGGCCACACUGGAACUGAGACACGGUCCAGACUCCUACGGGAGGCAGCAGUAGGGAAUCUUCCGCAAUGGGCGAAAGCCUGACGGAGCAACGCCGCGUGAGUGAUGAAGGUCUUCGGAUCGUAAAACUCUGUUAUUAGGGAAGGACAAAUGUGUAAGUAACUAUGCACGUCUUGACGGUACCUAAUCAGAAAGCCACGGCUAACUACGUG
rnacentral:rRNA from 1 species